GAUGAACGCUGGCGGCGUGCCUAAUACAUGCAAGUCGAGCGAACAGACGAGGAGCUUGCUCCUCUGACGUUAGCGGCGGACGGGUGAGUAACACGUGGAUAACCUACCUAUAAGACUGGGAUAACUUCGGGAAACCGGAGCUAAUACCGGAUAAUAUAUUGAACCGCAUGGUUCAAUAGUGAAAGACGGUUUUGCUGUCACUUAUAGAUGGAUCCGCGCCGCAUUAGCUAGUUGGUAAGGUAACGGCUUACCAAGGCAACGAUGCGUAACCGACCUGAGAGGGUGAUCGGCCACACUGGAACUGAGACACGGUCCAGACUCCUACGGGAGGCAGCAGUAGGGAAUCUUCCGCAAUGGGCGAAAGCCUGCCGGAGCAACGCCGCGUGAGUGAUGAAGGUCUUCGGAUCGUAAAACUCUGUUAUUAGGGAAGAACAACUGUGUAAGUAACUAUGCACGUCUUGACGGUACCUAAUCAGAAAGCCACGGCUAACUACGUG
rnacentral:rRNA from 1 species